AGGAUAAUAGUUUAAAAAACAUUUAAUUUGCAUUUAAAAGAAGUUAAAAUUAACUUAUCUUA
rnacentral:tRNA from 1 species